rnacentral:rRNA from 1 species
GUAGUCCACGCUGUAAACGAUGAGUGCUAGGUGUAGGGGGUAUCGACCCCUCCUGUGCCGCAGUCAACACAAUAAGCACUCCGCCUGGGGAGUACGGCCGCAAGGUUGAAACUCAAAGGAAUUGACGGGGGCCCGCACAAGCAGCGGAGCAUGUGGUUUAAUUCGACGCAACGCGAAGAACCUUACCAGGUCUUGACAUCGAUCUAAAGCGGUGGAAACAUCGUGUCCCUUCGGGGGAGAGAAGACAGGUGGUGCAUGGUUGUCGUCAGCUCGUGUCGUGAGAUGUUGGGUUAAGUCCCGCAACGAGCGCAACCCUUAUGAUCAGUUACUAACGGGAAAGCCGAGGACUCUGAUAAGACUGCCGGGGACAACUCGGA